rnacentral:tRNA from 4 species
GGGCCCUUAGCUCAGUUGGGAGAGCGCCUGCUUCGCAUGUAGGAGGUCGUCGGUUCAAAUCCGGUAGGGUCCA